GCAGUAUGGUGAGCUCCCAGCCGCCUGCCGCGGGCCACAGCAGCGUGCCCAGCGCGAGCAGCCUCAGCGCUGAGGCGCGUGCGCCUCGGGGACCCAUGGCUGCAGCUGCCGGCGAGGGCGCGAGCGCGACACACACAGGGAGAACACUACAUAAACUUGAAGGCAGAUAGCAAGGUGAUGCUUCUACAAGCCAAGGAACGCCAAAGAUUGCCUGCAAACCCUCAGAAGCUAGAAGAAAGGCAUGGAACAAAUCCUUCCAUCACAGUCCUCAGAGAGAACCAACUCUGCUGACACCUUGAUCUCGUUCUAGCCUCCAGAAAAGAUGGAGGCUUCCUCAACUGGAAACAGCUAAGAGAUGGAGCAAAGCCCCAGGAUCCUUGGCAGCAGAAGUAAAAUAAGGAAGAUGUAAAAGUAGCCCUCGAAGGGUCUUACACUGGAGUGCAUGCCCUGGUCCGGCUGCCCCCCAAUCCGUGUUGCUCCAGGUGCCACCCAGGCCACGCCGAGCUGCUGUGGGAAGAAGACCAUGGAUGGGGCCAUUUUGAUUUCAUGUACUUGAUGAUUUUUAGCCAGAAUGUCUGUGAAUGAAAUUAUAACAAUUAGGUGAAUUAAACUGUUUUUAAAGCAAUGAUCCUAUUUCCCCCCCAGCAGAGUUUAAAGCUCAAGAAGGGAAUUUAUAUUUGGGCCAAUAAGAAGAAACCAAAGAAUUGAUAAGAAGCUUGGCAUGAGACCAAGGUCUUCCAGUCUUCCAAAGGCAAAAAACUAGAUUCUAAAAAGGAUCAGGGAAUUGCCAUUCUUUGGCAAUAUGCUCAUUUUGAAAUAAUAUUUCUUUUUCUGCCAAAACUGUUGUUUCCAAAUUUGGGGAUUUUUGUAUCGAAUGCCCUUUAAAUUUCAGAAGUUUUUUUUUUU